AUUGAACGCUGGCGGCAGGCCUAACACAUGCAAGUCGAACGGUAACAGGAAGCAGCUUGCUGCUUCGCUGACGAGUGGCGGACGGGUGAGUAAUGUCUGGGAAGCUGCCUGAUGGAGGGGGAUAACUACUGGAAACGGUAGCUAAUACCGCAUAAUGUCGCAAGACCAAAGAGGGGGACCUUCGGGCCUCUUGCCAUCGGAUGUGCCCAGAUGGGAUUAGCUUGUUGGUGGGGUAACGGCUCACCAAGGCGACGAUCCCUAGCUGGUCAGAGAGGAUGACCAGCCACACUGGAACUGAGACACGGUCCAGACUCCUACGGGAGGCAGCAGUGGGGAAUAUUGCACAAUGGGCGCAAGCCUGAUGCAGCCAUGCCGCGUGUAUGAAGAAGGCCUUCGGGUUGUAAAGUACUUUCAGCGGGGAGGAAGGGAGUAAAGUUAAUACCUUUGCUCAUUGACGUUACCCGCAGAAGAAGCACCGGCUAACUCCGUG
rnacentral:rRNA from 1 species